AGAGUUUGAUCCUGGCUCAGGACGAACGCUGGCGGCGUGCUUAACACAUGCAAGUCGAACGAUGAACACUUCGGUGGGGAUUAGUGGCGAACGGGUGAGUAACACGUGGGCAAUCUGCCCUGCACUCUGGGACAAGCCCUGGAAACGGGGUCUAAUACCGGAUACUGAUCCUCGCAGGCAUCUGCGAGGUUCGAAAGCUCCGGCGGUGCAGGAUGAGCCCGCGGCCUAUCAGCUAGUUGGUGAGGUAACGGCUCACCAAGGCGACGACGGGUAGCCGGCCUGAGAGGGCGACCGGCCACACUGGGACUGAGACACGGCCCAGACUCCUACGGGAGGCAGCAGUGGGGAAUAUUGCACAAUGGGCGAAAGCCUGAUGCAGCGACGCCGCGUGAGGGAUGACGGCCUUCGGGUUGUAAACCUCUUUCAGCAGGGAAGAAGCGAAAGUGACGGUACCUGCAGAAGAAGCGCCGGCUAACUACGUGCCAGCAGCCGCGGUAAUACGUAGGGCGCAAGCGUUGUCCGGAAUUAUUGGGCGUAAAGAGCUCGUAGGCGGCUUGUCACGUCGGUUGUGAAAGCCCGGGGCUUAACCCCGGGUCUGCAGUCGAUACGGGCAGGCUAGAGUUCGGUAGGGGAGAUCGGAAUUCCUGGUGUAGCGGUGAAAUGCGCAGAUAUCAGGAGGAACACCGGUGGCGAAGGCGGAUCUCUGGGCCGAUACUGACGCUGAGGAGCGAAAGCGUGGGGAGCGAACAGGAUUAGAUACCCUGGUAGUCCACGCCGUAAACGGUGGGCACUAGGUGUGGGCAACAUUCCACGUUGUCCGUGCCGCAGCUAACGCAUUAAUUGCCCCGCCUGGGGAGUACGGCCGCAAGGCUAAAACUCAAAGGAAUUGACGGGGGCCCGCACAAGCGGCGGAGCAUGUGGCUUAAUUCGACGCAACGCGAAGAACCUUACCAAGGCUUGACAUACACCGGAAAACCCUGGAGACAGCGUCCCCCUUGUGGUCGGUGUACAGGU
rnacentral:rRNA from 1 species